GACGAACGCUGGCGGCGUGCUUAACACAUGCAAGUCGAACGGAAAGGCCCUGCUUUUGUGGGGUGCUCGAGGGGCGAACGGGUGAGUAACACGUGAGUAACCUGCCCUUGACUUUGGGAUAACUUCAGGAAACUGGGGCUAAUACCGGAUAGGAGCUCCUGCUGCAUGGUGGGGGUUGGAAAGUUUCGGCGGUUGGGGAUGGACGCGCGGCUGAUCAGCUUGUUGGUUGGGUAGUGGCUUACCAAGGCUUUGACGGGUAGCCGGCCUGAGAGGGUGACCGGCCACAUUGGGACUGAGAUACGGCGCAGACUCCUACGGGAGGCAGCAGUGGGGAAUAUUGCACAAUGGGCGGAAGCCUGAUGCAGAAACGCCGCGUGCGGGAUGACGGCCUUCGGGUUGUAAACCGCUUUCGCCUGUGACGAAGCGUGAGUGACGGUAAUGGGUAAAGAAGCACCGGCUAACUACGUG
rnacentral:rRNA from 1 species